rnacentral:tRNA from 1 species
GCCCAGGUGGCGGAACUGGUAGACGCACUACCUUGAGGUGGUAGCGCCGAAAGGCGUGGGGGUUCGAGUCCCCCCUUGGGCA